GCAAAAGCUUGCCAUGCUGUAGGUAUUCCAGGACGGAAAGUCGAUGACCCUUACUUCAGGGCUGCCAUCGUGGAGACGCAAAAUCAAGGUGUUGGCAUCAAAAUACCAUUAGGAAGGGAUAUUGAUGGCAAGUAUUUAGAUGAGAAUGUGAAGGAGAUACAUAACGAGAUAGAGAAGUGGAAGGCCGAGUGGGAACAUUGUGGCGUCACCCUCAUGUGUGAUUCCUGGACUGGGCCUAUGAGGAACUGGUUAUCAAUUUUUUGGUCUAUAGCGGGGGCACCAUGUAUUUCUUGAAGUCGAUUGAUGCGUCGGGUGAAAUACAAGACCACCAAUUCUUAUUACAGGCGAUCAAAGCACAGGUCUUGAAAGUGGGCAGUGAGAAUGUUGUUCAGAUAGUGACUGACAAUGGAUCGAACUAUAAAAAGGCAUGCA